rnacentral:rRNA from 1 species
AACGUAGGACACAAGCGUUAUCCGGAGUUACUGGGCGUAAAGGGCGUGUAGGCGGACCUAUAAGUCUAUUCUGAAAGCUCCUGGCUAAACUGGGAGAGGCGAAUGGAGACUGUAGAUCUAGAGUGAGGAAGAGGAAAGUGGAAUUCCGCGUGUAGUGGUGAAAUGCGUAGAGAUGCGGAGGAACACCAGUGGCGAAAGCGACUUUUCUGGUCCUUAACUGACGCUGAGGCGCGAAAGCAUGGGGAGCGAACGGG